CACUAGAGAGCUAUCCAGCGUCGGCCUUUUAAUCCGAAGAGAAUAAUAUUUAUUUCUAGUGA
rnacentral:tRNA from 1 species